UACGUAGGGGGCUAGCGUUGUCCGGAAUCAUUGGGCGUAAAGAGCGUGUAGGCGGCCCGGUAAGUCCGCUGUGAAAGUCGGGGGCUCAACCCUCGAAUGCCGGUGGAUACUGUCGGGCUAGAGUGCGGAAGAGGCGAGUGGAAUUCCUGGUGUAGCGGUGAAAUGCGCAGAUAUCAGGAGGAACACCAGUGGCGAAGGCGGCUCACUGGCCCGAUACUGACGCUGAGGCACGAAAGCGUGGGGAGCAAACAGG
rnacentral:rRNA from 1 species